CACCGCACAGCCACCACCACCGCGACGCACAACGCCUCUUUCUCAUCUCCUCCGGCGACCACAACUCCUGCUACAGCCGCCGCCCUCAACAACUCUCCCUCUCUGCUCGAGCUCCGGCGCCUGAGCCCUAGCUCCCCCAAAUCCAGUCGCCCUCACCCUACCCUUAUCUCUCUCCGGCGAAGAGAAGCCAGAUCCGCCGGCCAUCCAGACUCUCUCAAUCUCUCUCUCUCGACAGAUCUCUCUCUCAAUUCGAUGCCACACUCUCUUCUCCUUCAGGUACUGA
rnacentral:lncRNA from 1 species